CGCCCGCAAACAGGCUCAGGAGGCUGUGAGUCCGCAGCAGCGGACCCUGGGAAAGCAAACGAGUUGACGCCACAGCAGCCUUUUGAAGAGGAAAAGCGGAGACCCUCAGCUACAGAUCUUCGAAAUUUCUUACAUGACUUCUGAUCUUCACAACUGUGCAAUCCAUUUUCAAAACGGGAAAGACUCAGAAAUCAGAAGUUGUUACGUCUAGAGUCGCUUAUUCACCAUAUUUCAUUGUCUUGAUAGCAUCACUAGACCAUGCAUAAUUCAUGCAUGGGUGUGUUUUAGGGACAAAAAAGUCAAGUAGGAAGAAAAGACAGAUGAUCAAGAACAGAUGAAGAUGAAAACCAAAGAACGACCUACCGAAGAAAGUACCAUUUGAGUCUCCAUCCUCAUGCUUCUGCUGCUGCUGCUGCUGCUGUUGCUGCUGCUCCCUCAGCUGCAAGGAUUCCUGACAAACGUAAAUGGUUAGCCUUGGGCGCACCAUCCUAAGGAGGAAAAAAGAAAGCUGUUACUCAACUCUUUCAUGAAAGCUCAUCAAUGUAUCACCAAAGCCUAAUGGCUCAUAACAGGGACAAUGGAUAUUUAACUGAAUGGAAAAAACUAAUGAAAAAUGGAGUAUCAUGAGGAACUCCUUGGAUCAAGUACAGGAAAAGAUAUUUUUCAUCUUUAUUCGGCACAAAGCUGGCAUUCGAAAAGAAUGUUUCGACAAGAUGUAUUUAGCUGUACAAAAAGUAUUGCGAAGAGUCCCUGAAUCCAAAUCCAUUUGAAAUCCAGCCCCACUGAUAUUUUAACACUAAUUACAUACCGGCCUUUCAAUGCAUUAAAAAGUCUGAUUCCAUCUGCAGGGCCACAGAUUUGAAUCACAUCAUCUCUAGUUAGCUUCAAUAAAUCUGCCCCUGGAAUAAAUAUAAGAAAAUGGGUGAUAAAGGCAAAGAUUCUCCUUGUUAAUGACUUAAAAUGGACUCUGUUACAGGACACCUCAUUACUAGUAUGCUACAGUCAUAAUCUCUUGCAUGGCAUAUAAGGCCCUCCAUGACCCGGCCCCUGCAUCCUCUCCCACCUCAAUUCCCACCCAAUUAACUUAUUCAUUUAACCCUAUGCUUUCAUCAUGCUGAUCACGCCUAAUGAGCAAGUUGUUCCUCCUGCCUGAAAUAUCCUUCCACUGUCUGACCAACAGACUCUUCCUCAGCCCUCAAGAUAUACCUCACGCAUCACACAUCACACAUAUUCCCAAACUCCAGAGCCUUACACUUAUCUAUUGCAUUACAACUAUUUGUUUACCUUUUUCAGGGUUUUAUUUUGAUUUGGGUUUUCUCUGAUACUAGAUGGUGACUGAUCAGGAAAUAUGCCUUAUCCAUUUGUGUAUUCCUACCAUACCUGGUACACAGAAGAUGCUAAAUAAGAGUGGAAUGUGCAAAGAAAACAUAAUAUAGUGAUAUCAAGGGGAAAAUUUCCGACCACCUGCAAUGCUCCUUGAUAAAAUAUUUUAUGGAUAAUAUAUUUUAAAGUAUUGUAUAGAAUAAAUAUUUUAAAAUUAAAAUGAGUUUAAACUAAGAGGUCUUUCUUUUUUGAGCAUUUCACAGCACAGCUGCAGCUGGUGAGAAAGUCUGAAGGGUUCAAUGAAAUUCAUUUAAUCAGAAAAACGCAUUAAGAUCUCCCCCCUCUACACACAAAACAACACAGGGAUACCAGGAGGCCCUGGAAUGUAAAGGAAAUCCCAUGCUGGGGAAAACAAAAGGACAAGCAAAUUUAACCUGAGAAGUUUGUAAAAAGCCUUGUGAAUGUGGAAAAACGGUUUCGAUGCAACCACUGCUGAGCCUCCUGAGGUGUGGUUGUUGGCAAGAGGUUCUGAAAGAGGGAAAGCAUUUUUUUUUGUAACUAAAUAGACUCAACUUUAAAAAGGUAAACGUUACAUCAUUAGGUAACAACAGCCAAAUACACCCACAUUCAGACAGGCUGAGUUUGCUUGGAAGUUGUUUAUACAUCAGUCUUCUUUCUCUAACCAUGCAAGAUAUCCAUGGAAUUCCAUCCUUAUC